GAUGAAGAACGUAGCGAAAUGCGAUACGUAAUGUGAAUUGCAGAAUUCAGUGAAUCAUCGAAUCUUUGAACGCAUAUUGCGCUCUCUGGUAUUCCGGAGAGCAUGCUUGUUUGAGUAUCAGUAAACACCUCAACUUCCAUAUCUUUUUUGAAAUGGGAGUUGGACUUGAGUGAUCCCAACGCUUUUCCUCACCGAAAAGUGGCGGGUUACUUGAAAUGCAGGUGCAGCUGGACUGUUCUCUGAGCUAUAAGCAUAUCUAUUUAGUCUGCCUAAAAAACAGAUUAUUACCUUUGCUGCAGCUAACAUAAAGGAGAUUAGUUCUUGUGCUGACUGAUGCAGGAUUCACAAAGACAGGCUUCGGCCGACUUUGUAAACUCGAUCUCAAAUCAAGUAAGACUACCCGCUGAACUUAAGCAUAUCAAUAAGCGGAGGA
rnacentral:misc_RNA from 1 species